UGCGCACUGGGCUUUGUCACACGGGCCUCCUAACUCCUCCUCUCGCUCCGCCCCGCCGCUGCCAGGUUUCCCAGGGCUAGGCCCGGCUGCUCUCUCGCGGGCUCCUGCUGCCCAUUGUCGCUCCCUGAGCAGCGUACUGAAGGGAUCGUGUUUAGAGGAUGCUUUUUGUGAUGCGUUACCAUUUGCAGAGCGGAUCCAACCUGCUCCCCAAAAUGAAUCCUGGAAUAAAUUACUCAGAGGCAGAGGGGAUGGACAGCUGGUUGUGAAAAGAGCAUAUGGACAACACAUCUUGAAGAAUUCCUAUUAUUGUACAGGUUGGAAAUCAGCUUGCUUGAAAACACAGACACUGAGCUUCUCCGUAAUGAAGACAGGAGGUGGUGAGAGGGACUGAGUGGCAGAUGGCACGCUCUGCCCUUUUAUGCCCACAACGCGGGGCACAAAGACUCUCUGGGUGCAUACAUGCCAUAUGGACACGGCUGGCCAAAAGACUUCACACUCCAGCCGGUGGGGUGUAUGUGGACAAUUAGCGGCAUGUGUAUACGGCCAAUCACUUGAAGCCAAAGGUGAUUUUACACAGCAUUUGAACUACAAUACAUAUUGAUCGAUCUAUGUUCUUAGACUCACCCCAUCACCUUGAUAUCUGAAUGUCUUUCAAAAUAAUCAAGUAUACACCAGCACCACAUAUGUGUGAAGGGCAAAGUAAACUCAUUUAUUAUUGUAUGGGAAAGACUACUAUAAUAAAAGAACACUGUUCCUACCUUAGAAACAAGAAUUUUGGUUCCUGAUGUUAUAUUUCUGUGAUGGGCUUCAGAAAUAUGGACUAACAGAUUGCGCCUGUGAACUAUAACAUCAUCAGAUAGCUCUUUAAUAUAAAUGUUUUAAUUUGGGUAUUAAGAUCCCUGUUGCAGAAGCCCCAUCUUGUGGACAACUUAGGAAACAUUUUAAAACCACUGCAACAAAAUAUAGUGGAGUCCUUCACAAAAAUGCAAUUAACAGGUAGAAAUCACCAUUUCCUUUCUUUAGAUGCAUUCCCCAAUAUGAAAGAAUGGGCUAUGCAGGGGGUGGGAAAUAGGACAAGAAACAAGGGUAUUAUCUCCUAUGGCACUCAGAACUUUGUCUGAAUGCUUUGUUUGAAGAAUCACGAACUGAUUGCCAUGCAGCCACCUGUAGAUUUUUAUUAAAGAGGUUGGUUUUCUCUUGCCUGGGAGACUGCUACUACUCAGCCUUGAAUCCCAGCGGUAUGGGCUUUUUUGUCCUUUCCUGUGACUUUUAGAUAGUACAAAUUAGGAUUUGUUUUACAAAUUCCUGGGUGGUGUAUAUAGUAUUAAGGGCCAUGUGUACCACUCAGCCCCUGCGAUACCUUUUCCUUUGAGGAAACUGUUCAGGCAUAAGCAACAGCAAGAUAUCUGUGGAAAAUAAGUUUGGAAAAACUAGGAACAGUCUUAGAGACACUUCUUUUUCUUAGUGUGUAAUUACAUAAAUGAAGUAAUGAGAAGGAUAGACUACUCCAAUACUUGGUGAGUUGAGGUACUAGUUACUAGGAAGAAUACCUUUAUAGAUAAAAAGAACAGCGAAACAUAUACAGAGCAUAAAACCAGUUUUAAGUAUCAAGGUGACACUACUGGACAGUGUUUGCUUGGAAUUAGUUUUCUGACUGCUUGGAAGUGACUAUGAAGUGGCCCCCAAUGGAUCAUUUAUUACUCCUAUAGUGUUAUUCGGGCAGAAAGUGUAGCAAUGCCUAGAGACAAGUUUGCACAAAUGCCUCCAUUCUAAAG